ACGGGGGCUGUCGGGAGCGGGUCGGUGCCUGUGACGGAGGCUGCUCAAGUUCAGGGCUCGGGGCUGGAAUACAUGGGGUGCGGGGACCCGGAAGGCUGGAGAGCCAGGUCGGAUAUCUGGGGCCGAGUGCACCGGGAGGGUGGUAUCUCCCCACUUGGCGGGCUCGAUGUGAUCCACGGGCAAGCCGCCGCGCAGGACCGGGGGCCGCGCGCCUGGGGCCGUGCCCCCCUCACUUCCGCGGGGCGGGCGCACCUCCCUUAAGGUGGCUCUGUUAAGUCUCCGUGGGGGCGAGCAAAGUUUAGGGGUGGCUUCUCCAGAGUCGGCCACCCAUGCUGAGUACGCUUCUAAGUUUGUCUUCUGGUCAAGUUCACCAGCGGCGGUAAGCGCCGCUGUCUGGCUGGGACUGGAAGCUGAGUGAUUUGCAUUGCUCGAAACAGUGCUCUCCUAAGUCCCCGCUACAUCCCACUUAACCCUCCCCACCAUGGGAAAAGGGUUGUGGAGGUUCACACUUUUGCCAUGGAGGCGAGAUUUUUUUAUAGGAGGUGGAAUUAAGGAGCAACUGAGCGUCCAGUUGAGAAUGAGCACGUAGGGAAUUCAAAAGUCGGGGAACUCCGGUGAACGUCUAUUCCCCUGCCCGGCACAACAGGCAACACGCUCGCCACACAUCACCCGUACACACACACACACUGAUUUGUACACACACACACACUCCCGCCCUGAUUCGUUUCCGGGAAAACAAGUCCGAGAGCAGCAGACGCUUGCCAAAAGUCGCACAGCGAGUCGGGUACAACCAGGAUUUAAAAUCUCUCCACCCUUGGCCGGUUGGUGGGCCCAUAUCCCGUGUAGCCUCUAGGAAGCGCUAGACACGUGUUGUCAGCUUGGAUAUAUGCAUUCACAUAACAACUGAAUAAAGUAGAAAUGAAGAAAAUCGAAAUACAAGGAAGUGGAUCAGUCAGCUGCUGUUGUGAAAUAAUCACCAGGAAAUCUGAGUGACAAAGAAGCUGAAGUUCAGAGAAAUUAUGCAGUCACUCCAGGGCACAUUAUAAGUGGCCAGAGCCCCGGCAUAUUAACCACUACACCAUGACACCAUGACCUGCUGUCUCUUAAAAACCACCAACUGCUCCCUGAGCUCUUAGCAUGAUGCAGGUACUCCAGAAAUGUAUGAAGAAAGGUGGAAAAAGGAAGGAAAGGGGCAGUGUUUGAAGUCUGAGAAAGUCUUUCCUAAUGCCUCUCCACCCCACUCCCCAAAUUCCCAGAUGCAAUAGGGGAAAUGGUUCCUUGUUCCAUAUUAAAAUGACCUGUUACCCAUCUGGCGCUCCACAAAUAUUUGUGAAUAAAUGUGUUC